GCUGGCGGCAGGCCUAACACAUGCAAGUCGAGCGGUAGAGAGAAGCUUGCUUCUCUUGAGAGCGGCGGACGGGUGAGUAAUGCCUAGGAAUCUGCCUGGUAGUGGGGGAUAACGUUCGGAAACGGACGCUAAUACCGCAUACGUCCUACGGGAGAAAGCAGGGGACCUUCGGGCCUUGCGCUAUCAGAUGAGCCUAGGUCGGAUUAGCUAGUUGGUGAGGUAAUGGCUCACCAAGGCGACGAUCCGUAACUGGUCUGAGAGGAUGAUCAGUCACACUGGAACUGAGACACGGUCCAGACUCCUACGGGAGGCAGCAGUGGGGAAUAUUGGACAAUGGGCGAAAGCCUGAUCCAGCCAUGCCGCGUGUGUGAAGAAGGUCUUCGGAUUGUAAAGCACUUUAAGUUGGGAGGAAGGGUUGUAGAUUAAUACUCUGCAAUUUUGACGUUACCGACAGAAUAAGCACCGGCUAACUCUGUGCCAGCAGCCGCGGUAAUACAGAGGGUGCAAGCGUUAAUCGGAAUUACUGGGCGUAAAGCGCGCGUAGGUGGUUUGUUAAGUUGGAUGUGAAAUCCCCGGGCUCAACCUGGGAACUGCAUUCAAAACUGACUGACUAGAGUAUGGUAGAGGGUGGUGGAAUUUCCUGUGUAGCGGUGAAAUGCGUAGAUAUAGGAAGGAACACCAGUGGCGAAGGCGACCACCUGGACUAAUACUGACACUGAGGUGCGAAAG
rnacentral:rRNA from 1 species